CCCUUAGAUGUUCUGGGCCGCACGCGUGCUACACUGAUGCAUUCAACGAGUCUAAAACCUGGUCUGAUAGGGCUGGGUAAUCUUUUGAAAGUGCAUCGUGAUUGGGAUAGAUGAUUGCAAUUCUUCAUCUUCAACGAGGAAUGCCUAGUAAACGCAAGUCAUCAGCUUGCAUUGAUUACGUCCCUGCCCUUUGUACACACCGCCCGUCGCUCCUACCGGUUGAAUGAUCCGAUGAAUACCAUGGAUUGAGAGUACGAAUAGGUUCGCUUAUUUCUGCUGCUCGAGAAGUGGAGUAAAUCUUAUCAUUUAGAGGAAGGAGAAGUCGUAACA
rnacentral:rRNA from 1 species